GGUCACGUAGCCAAGUGGUUAAGGCGACUCUCUGCAAAAGAGUUAUCACCGGUUCAAUUCCGGUCGUGACCU
rnacentral:tRNA from 1 species